GGUGACUAUAGCAAGGAGGUCACACCUGUUCCCAUGCCGAACACAGAAGUUAAGCUCCUUAGCGUCGAUGGUAGU
rnacentral:rRNA from 1 species